rnacentral:rRNA from 1 species
AACGAACGCUGGCGGCAUGCCUAACACAUGCAAGUCGAACGAGAUCUUCGGGUCUAGUGGCGCACGGGUGCGUAACGCGUGGGAAUCUGCCCUUUGGUUCGGAAUAACAGUUGGAAACGACUACUAAUACCGGAUGAUGACGAAAGUCCAAAGAUUUAUCGCCCGAGGAUGAGCCCGCGUAGGAUUAGCUAGUUGGUGUGGUAAAGGCGCACCAAGGCGACGAUCCUUAGCUGGUCUGAGAGGAUGAUCAGCCACACUGGGACUGAGACACGGCCCAGACUCCUACGGGGGGCAGCAGUGGGGAAUAUUGGACAAUGGGCGAAAGCCUGAUCCAGCAAUGCCGCGUGAGUGAUGAAGGCCUUAGGGUUGUAAAGCUCUUUUACCCGGGAUGAUAAUGACAGUACCGGGAGAAUAAGCUCCGGCUAACUCCGUGCCAGCCGCCGCCGUAACAC